GAUCCUGGCUCAGGAUGAACGCUGGCGGCGUGCCUAACACAUGCAAGUCGAGCGAAGCGGUUUUAAGGAAGUUUUCGGAUGGAAUUAAAACUGACUGAGCGGGCGGACGGGUGAAGGUAACGCGUGGGUAACCUGCCUCAUACAGGGGGGAUAACAGUUAGAAAUGGCUGCUAAUACCGCAUAAGCACACAGCUUCGCAUGGAGCAGUGUGAAAAACUCCGGUGGUAUGAGAUGGACCCGCGU
rnacentral:rRNA from 1 species